UACAGAGGUCUCAAGCGUUGUUCGGAUUCAUUGGGCGUAAAGGGUGCGUAGGCGGUGAGGUAAGUCUGGUGUGAAAUCCCGGGGCUCAACCCCGGAACUGCACUGGAUACUGCUUUACUUGAGCACUGGAGAGGGAACUGGAAUUUACGGUGUAGCAGUGAAAUGCGUAGAGAUCGUAAGGAAGACCAGUGGCGAAGGCGAGUUCCUGGACAGUUGCUGACGCUGAGGCACGAAGGCCAGGGGAGCAAACGGGAUUAGAAACC
rnacentral:rRNA from 1 species